rnacentral:rRNA from 1 species
UACGUAGGGUGCAAGCGUUGUCCGGAAUUAUUGGGCGUAAAGAGUCUCGAGAGCGGUCUGUUACGUCGGCUGUGAAAACCUGGGGCUCAACCCCGGGCCUGCAGCCGAUACGGGCAGACUAGAAUUCGGUAGGGGAGACUGGAAUUCCUGGUGUAGCGGUGAAAUGCGCAGAUAUCAGGAGGAACACCGGUGGCGAAGGCGGGUCUCUGGGCCGAUAUUGACGCUGAGGAGCGAAAGCGUGGGGAGCGAACAGG